rnacentral:rRNA from 1 species
GGUCAAGCUACUAAGGGCGCAUGGUGGAUGCCUUGGCAGAAGCAGGCGAUGAAGGACGUGGCAAGCUGCGAUAAGCCCCGGAGAGCCGCAAGCAGGCUUUGACCCGGGGAUUUCCGAAUGGGGAAACCCACGGGGGUAAAACCCCCGUACGGCCCGAUGAAUCCAUAGUCGGGCACGAGCGAACCCUGGGAAGUGAACCAUCUCAGUACCAGGAGGAAAAGAAAGAAACCUCGAUUGCGAAAGUAGUGGCGAGCGAAAUCGCAACAGCCUAAACCUGUUUGACCUUCGGGUUAUGCAGGGGUUGUAGGGUCGGCAACAGUAGAGUUACCAAUCCAGUCGUUAGUCGAAGCCCUCUGGAAAGAGGAGCCAUAGAGCGUGAUAGCCGCGUAGACGAAAACGAUCUGGACUCGAAGCCGAUACCUGAGUACCGCGGAGCACGAGAAACUUUGCGGGAAGCUACGGAGACCAUUCCGUAAGGCUAAAUACUAGCUUCUGACCGAUAGUGAACCAGUACCGUGAGGGAAAGGCGAAAAGAACCCCUGCGAGGGGAGUGAAAUAGUACCUGAAACCGUGUGCCUACAAACGGUGGGAGGACUAUGCCAGCGCAAGCUGGAAAGUCUGACCGCGUGCCUAUUGCAUAAUGAGCCGGCUAGUUAUUCUUGUCAGCAAGGUUAAGCGAAAGCGAGCCGCAGCGAAAGCGAGUCCUAAUAGGGCGCUUGAGUUGGCAGGAAUAGACGCGAAGCGGGAUGAUCUACCCUUGGCCAGGCUGAAAGUGGGGUAACACCCACUGGAGGGCCGAACGGGUGUUUGUUGAAAAAAGCUCCGAUGAGCUGAGGGUAGGGGUGAAAGGCUAAUCAAAUUCCGUGAUAGCUCGUUCUCUCCGAAAUAGCUUUAGGGCUAGCCUCGGAUGAUUUGUCGUGGUGGUAGAGAACUGAAUGGACUAGGGGGCUUUCCAGCUUACUGAAUCCAAUCAAACUUCGAAUGCCAUAGAACAACCAAUCCGGGAGUCAGACGGCGGGGGCUAAGCUUCGUCGUCGAGAGGAAAACAGUCCAGAUCGCCUGCUAAGGUCCCAAAAUACAAGCUAAGUGGGAAAGGAAGUCGGAACGCCCAGACAGCCAGGAGGUUGGCUUAGAAGCAGCCAUCCUUUAAAGAAAGCGUAAUAGCUCACUGGUCAAGCGGUCCGGUGCCGACAAUUUAACGGGGCUUAAGCUUGUUACCGAAGCAGCGA